AACGAACGCUGGCGGCAUGCCUAACACAUGCAAGUCGAACGGUGCCGCCCCUUCUAUUUUCGCGGGUGUGGGUGAGUGGUGGACGGGUGACUAAACCGUGAGUAUCAUGCCCCGUUAUUCUGGCUAAUCCCAUGAAAGUUUUGCUAAUCCGGGAUUUUUUGGCUUUGUCGCAUGCUGGGUCUGGGUAAGUAGUUGUUUCGGUGGGGGCCGGACUAGCGGCCGAUCAGGUUGUUGGUGGGGUGAGGGCCGACACAGGCGGGGACUGGUAGCCGGCCAGAGAGGGUGGAAGAGCUCACAGGAGAGGAGACACGGCCCAGACUCCACAGGGAGGCAGCAGAGGGGAAUAGUGCACAAUGGGCGGAAGACUGAUGCAGCGACGCCGCGUGAGGGAUGGAGGCCUUCGGGUUGUGAACCUCUUUCGCCAGUGAAGCAGGCCUGCCUUGUUUGUGGGUGGGUUGACGGUAGCUGGAGAAGAAGCGCCGGCUAACUACGUG
rnacentral:rRNA from 1 species